AUGCCACACACACAGCUGGAAGGACCUGAAAUUCUUGCCCCUGCCUUGUAAUAAUAAUAGGGGCAGAGGAGAACAAGGUUUCCAGCCCCAGACCACCAGAGACUAAAGGACUCACCAAGGAGUUUACAGGUAUCUUCUCUGCAACAGUUAGGGAGAUGUCACAGAUUCAUUUUCCUGGGAGGUUUCAUUGCUCACCAGCCUCAAAUUUAAACUCCUUCCCAGGAUUCAUGCUCUUCUCUGGUUCUGCCCACAUCCUUAGUCACACUCUGGAACUAACCUUCAGCUGUGGAGCAGCAAGGAGGAUGCUCUAAGCCUGCUGGUGUCUGGACAGACAAUCUGUCCUGUUACAGUAGUAACCAAACUACUGCUAGCCUGCAGGCUCUAAAAAACGAUUGCACAAUCUCAAAAAGGGUAAUAAAAAAAUAAA